rnacentral:rRNA from 1 species
AGCCAUCCUUGGGAUACCACCCUUGUAGUACUGGGACUCUAACCAUAGGCCAUGAAUCUGGUCUUGGGACACUGUCAGGUGGGCAGUUUGACUGGGGCGGUCGCCUCCCAAAAGGUAACGGAGGCGCCCAAAGGUUCUCUCAGUACGGUCGGAAAUCGUACGUAGAGUGUAAAGGCAAAAGAGAGCUUGAUUGCAAGACAUACAGGUCGAGCAAGGAUGAAAA